AUAUUAUAAAGUUUUGCUCAGUCUUUUCUUUUCUAAAUCAAAAAACAUUUUCAACUACAAAGACACAAUAGAGGUUUUAGAAGAAAGGGCAUUUCUGUGACCUUGACCUGUAAGUAUUCUGGUCAAAAUAUUGCAUGAAUAAAACUCUUCUUCAACUUUUACAUUUUCUUGGAAAUUGAACUUAAUAAAAAAACCUUGGAGCUCAAUGUCAGGCUUUGACAGAUCACUGCAUUAAUUAACAACCACAAGAUGGCUUCUGCUCCUCCUUUCCUCCAUGCAUGCAGAGAUGAAGCGCUUUCUUCAGGACAACUGUUGUCUUCCGGUUAGAAAAUGUUCUAGCUCCAAGCGCUCUCUCUUCUAAAAAAGGGAAAAGCCAAAUGCCUGGAAAGAGGAAAAGACACUGGAACCAUGUAAUAAAAAAGGUUUGGCUGGGAAAUUCUGCCAUUCCUACAGGGGUUAUCACAGCAAAUCCCCCCACAGAUUUUCGGACGUGAUUUGGCUCCAGUUUUGCUGCAGAGACCUUUCCUGAUGCAACACUGCAUUUACCUGGAGCUAGGAACAACACAUGGAAACACUGGAAAUUUCCCGCAUCUGGUUGCAAUGACUUUCAGCACCUGGAGGACCCAGACAGUCUCCAUCCAAGACCUGAUCAGACCCAACCGGCUUUGGAGCCACGAUUACAUGAAAUAAGGGUGGCACAGCCACAGUUGUAAUGAGCAAAUUAAUAUAGCAUUUGAAGAAGUUAGUAAAAUAUA